AGUGAACGCUGGCGGUAGGCCUAACACAUGCAAGUCGAACGGCAGCACAGUAAGAGCUUGCUCUUACGGGUGGCGAGUGGCGGACGGGUGAGGAAUACAUCGGAAUCUACUUUUUCGUGGGGGAUAACGUAGGGAAACUUACGCUAAUACCGCAUACGACCUACGGGUGAAAGCAGGGGAUCUUCGGACCUUGCGCGAUUGAAUGAGCCGAUGUCGGAUUAGCUAGUUGGCGGGGUAAAGGCCCACCAAGGCGACGAUCCGUAGCUGGUCUGAGAGGAUGAUCAGCCACACUGGAACUGAGACACGGUCCAGACUCCUACGGGAGGCAGCAGUGGGGAAUAUUGGACAAUGGGCGCAAGCCUGAUCCAGCCAUACCGCGUGGGUAAAGAAGGCCUUCGGGUUGUAAAGCCCUCUUGUUGGGAAAGAAAAGCAGCAGGUUAAUACCCCGCUGUUCUGACGGUACCCAAAGAAUAAGCACCGGCUAACUUCGUG
rnacentral:rRNA from 1 species